AACGAACGCUGGCGGCAUGCCUAACACAUGCGAGUCGAACGAGACCUUCGGGGCUAGUGGCGCACGGGUGCGUAACGCGUGGGAACCUGCCCUUAGGUUCGGAAUAACUCCCCGAAAGGGGUGCUAAUACCGGAUAAUGUCUUCGGACCAAAGAUUUAUCGCCUUUGGAUGGGCCCGCGUUGGAUUAGCUAGUUGGUAGGGUAAAAGCCUACCAAGGCGACGAUCCAUAGCUGGUCUGAGAGGAUGAUCAGCCACACUGGGACUGAGACACGGCCCAGACUCCUACGGGAGGCAGCAGUGGGGAAUAUUGGACAAUGGGCGAAAGCCUGAUCCAGCAAUGCCGCGUGAGUGAUGAAGGCCUUAGGGUUGUAAAGCUCUUUUACCCGGGAUGAUAAUGACAGUACCGGGAGAAUAAGCCCCGGCUAACUCCGUG
rnacentral:rRNA from 1 species